GCGAAACAGCGAUGUGGAGCAAAUCCCUAAAAACGGUACUCAGUUCAGAUUGUAGGCUGCAACUCGCCUACAUGAAGUCGGAAUUGCUAGUAAUCGCGGAUCAGCAUGCCGCGGUGAAUACGUUCCCGGGCCUUGUACACACCGCCCGUCACACCAUGGAAGUUGGUAACACCCGAAGCCUGUAGCCUAACCGCAAGGAGGGCGCAGUCGAAGGUGGGAUUAAUGACUGGGGUGAAGUCGUAACAAGGUAAC
rnacentral:rRNA from 1 species